rnacentral:rRNA from 1 species
UACGAAGGGGGCUAGCGUUGCUCGGAAUCACUGGGCGUAAAGGGUGCGUAGGCGGGUUUUUAAGUCAGGGGUGAAAUCCUGGAGCUCAACUCCAGAACUGCCUUUGAUACUGAAGAUCUUGAGUCCGGGAGAGGUGAGUGGAAUUCCGAGUGUAGAGGUGAAAUUCGUAGAUAUUCGGAGGAACACCAGUGGCGAAGGCGGCUCACUGGCUCGGUACUGACGCUGAGGUGCGAAAGCGUGGGGAGCAAACAGGG